rnacentral:pre_miRNA from 1 species
AUCUGGGCCGGAUCUUCUGUGCCUACUGUUCUGACAUCAGUCGUCUAUAAAAAGCACUGGCUCAGUUCAGCAGGAACAGAAGUCUCGUCCAUUG